UGGUACAAAUUCAACAUAGAUGGUGCUUUCAAUGGUAAUAAUUGCCAAGGUGGUAUAGGUGGAGUAGCAAGAAAUCACACAGAAAGCUGGAUACUAGGAUUUCACAUGAAAGUUCCGACCCUAUCAGCAACACAAGUGGAGCUCCAAACCUUGAGAGGAUGUUUGCAAAUUAUAAUGCAGCACAACUUAACGCCAGUGGAAAUAGAAACAGAUGCAUCAGAGGUUAUCAAUAUGUUAGACAAUGAUCACCCUACUUACAUGAACCUUAUCUUUGAAUACAGGUGGUUGAUGAAACAAACAAGGAGGAAGGGUCAAGAGGUACUCAGGCAUAGCUUCAGACAAGACAACGAGGUGGUGCAUGGCAUGGCAAAAAUGGUACUAAUGCAGACCAACAUAAAUAAAUUUUCAUUUUGGCAACUCCACUGAAACUAGCGAUACAACAAUAUCAAUAGAAUCUCGAUGAUUUUUCUUCUGUUAAAUAUGUUUGUGCUAGUGUUUGUUUGAAGUUGGCUGCUUUGGGAAACUUAAAAGUUCUUUCAUUUUUACCAAAAAAAUUGUCGUGCCUGUACAGAUUCGAGAAAAAAACACUCUUACGGCAGCUCUCCGUUCCAGCAAUGGCGAUGAGCACCAGUGCUGGAAAAAAAAUCCAGGCAAACGCUAAAAUUUCUUAUUUUCGUUUUCUCCAAAUAAUUGUCGAGAAAAAGCCAGACACAAUUAAGCCUAAAAAAACCUAGCACCAUAGGAACAAAAAGCAGUAGCAUCUACGCUCUCACCCUUGUAACGCCGCCACUGUUCCACCCUUUGACUACCAUUGGAAAGAACCCAUAAACCAACACCUUCUCAUCUAUAUCGGAUCUCCUCAACAACCACAGUCCAAAUCCUAGCAGCCUAGGAACAAAGAGCAGUAGCAAGCUAAGCUCACCUUCACCGUCUCUCGCCACCACUGUUCCACCCUUUGACCACCAUUGGAAAGUGUGGCUAUUUUAAUGACAAGUGUCUUAGCCUUCUAGAAGACUAUGCCAAGUGGCAAACUUGAUUAGCCACUUUCAUGCCAUGCAAUUUCAAGUAUAAAUAGUCAUCAUUUGGCUGCACGAUAAUACACCCAUCAGAAGUGUUUUUCUAUUUAACCUUCUUCCCUUUCUCUCUUAGCUUCUCUUACUUCCAAUUUUUCUUAUAAAUUUUCUUUGUCCUAUUCUCUUUUCAAUCUUGUUGGAUUAUUGUAAUAUAAAUAUUUUGCUGAUUCCUAUAUCCUCUAAAUAAAUCAGAGAUGAACUUGUUUAAUCCUGGAAAAACAUUUCAUAUUGCUGAAAUAGUUUCUUAGGACAGUGCCCAGCACGACUCAAGUCAAUCCGUGUAUCUUCUUACAAAUAAUAUUGAAGCAGUAUUAUUAUUGUUAUUUUUCGGUGUCAUUUUCCUACAAUCUAAGAAACUAUGGCAAGUAAUACUACUAUAGAAAUUUUUGAGUGUGCUACCAAUUUUGGUGUUAUCUCCGCUGCUACUGUUCCAACUGUCCUGCCAGAUAUCCAUGGUGUUGCAAAUAGGUUAUUGCAUCCACAACUUGGACAGACACUAAUGUCAAAACACAGUCCAUUUGUGAUUGGUAUAUUGUGAAGUAUACGAAGGCAGUACUGCAGCACCAUCAGGAGAAGGGUCCGUUUUGAUCGAGCCCUCAGGUUGAUUGUUCAUAUCGCGGUUGAGUUCUCAAAAUCAGAGGACCCGAGUAGCAAUAUAUGCGCAUUUAAUGCAUGAAAGAGGAUCAAUGGAGAGAUUUGAAGGUUGAUGGAAUAACUGCCAAGUUUGAAAGAAUUGGAACUUUCAUGGAGAGUCUUGUCUCUCCUAUGUUUAUCAAGGGAACCGAGGGUUACCAUAUUGCUUGAUGUAAUAUGCCGAGAUGAUGCUGUUCUCAGGAGUUAAUCUGGUUCUAUGAGAUAGAAAGUUAGUAGAACUGUGGACAUAGUCACAGAGGCUUGGAUCUCAAUAUAUUCUAGUUCCAAGGGGUUACUCCUGCAGUUUCUUUUCCUCUUUGUCCAAGAAACCUCGAGUUUAUUCGAUCCUUUCUUCUUGAUUUUUGUACUCUCUUUUCACCAGAAUUAACCGUGGUGCCCAACAUGCUAAAUGCGAAAAGGCACAGGUUUGAAGAUCCAGCUGAAAUCGAGCUCGAGCCCAAACCCUCAUAGCAAAAGUGGAUUAUGAAAUCUAGCAACUCCAGAUUGGAUGAGUGGGGUUUCAGGGAGUAAAAAUAACGAAAGAAGUCAUUUAUCUGGUAGUGACUUGGUGCUAAUCAAUCAAGAUCAUAAGAUGCAUAAAGUUAUCAGGGCUAAAUUUGUAUCUGGUUUGGGAGCACUAGCAUCAUUAAUUCAUAUGAAUGCUUGUUCCAGCUCUGUUUCACAAAGAAAGUUUUAAUCUUUCCUUCUAGUUACUAAAGCCAUGGAGAAAAAGUGCAAUGGAAUGCUAAUAGGAAGGUUGGUCUGGAGCUUCCAAGAGAAUCAUUGACAUAAUUUCUAAUGGUUUUGUUCAAGUUCUGCCAUGGAGUUCAAUUUUCUGCUCCUGAUUACCUUCUUGAUUGUCUCCAAACUAAUAUUCAAGACUAAGGCGUUUAUUGAUUUGCGAAUUGGUACUAGGAAGAUUGGAAGUACUAACUCCUUGUUCACAACAGUUUAGAGAGGAUCAACUCUUGAUUCUGGGGUUGACAACUUAAUAUCUCCAAGAAAGUAUAUAGUUUGGAGUAGUCGUCUGAAUACGCAUGUCUUCCCUGAAGUCGUGGUCAGUUUCAGAGCUUCGUCGAUGAAUUUCCAACUCUUUUAAAGAAUUAUAUUUAGCAAGGAUUUCCUUUGAUGCUUUGUUUCACCAGAUUAUCAAACAUCUUGCCUUCUCAUGCUAUCAAGUUGAUAAGAAA